rnacentral:rRNA from 1 species
AUUGAACGCUGGCGGCAGGCCUAACACAUGCAAGUCGAGCGGAUGAAGGGAGCUUGCUCCUGGAUUCAGCGGCGGACGGGUGAGUAAUGCCUAGGAAUCUGCCUGGUAGUGGGGGAUAGCGUCCGGAAACGGGCGCUAAUACCGCAUACGUCCUGAGGGAGAAAGUGGGGGAUCUUCGGACCUCACGCUAUCAGAUGAGCCUAGGUCGGAUUAGCUAGUUGGUGGGGUAAAGGCCUACCAAGGCGACGAUCCGUAACUGGUCUGAGAGGAUGAUCAGUCACACUGGAACUGAGACACGGUCCAGACUCCUACGGGAGGCAGCAGUGGGGAAUAUUGGACAAUGGGCGAAAGCCUGAUCCAGCCAUGCCGCGUGUGUGAAGAAGGUCUUCGGAUUGUAAAGCACUUUAAGUUGGGAGGGAGGGCAGUAAGUUAAUACCUUGCUGUUUUGACGUUACCAACAGAAUAAGCACCGGCUAACUUCGU